AGUUUGAUCAUGGCUCAGAUUGAACGCUGGCUUGGCAGUGCUUAACACAUGCAAGUCGAGCGGUAACAGUGGUGGUGCUUGCACCCCUGCUGACGAGCGGCGGACGGGUGAGUAAAGCUUAGGAAUCUGCCUGGUAGUGGGGGAUAGCCCGGGGAAACUCGGAUUAAUACCGCAUACGCCCUUUGGGGGAAAGCAGUGGGAUCUUCGGACCUUGCGCUAUCAGAUGAGCCUAAGUCGGAUUAGCUAGUUGGUGGGGUAAAGGCCUACCAAGGCGACGAUCCGUAGCUGGUCUGAGAGGAUGAUCAGCCACAUCGGGACUGAGACACGGCCCGAACUCCUACGGGAGGCAGCAGUGGGGAAUAUUGGACAACUGGGGGCAACCCUGAUCCAGCCAUGCCGCGUGUGUGAAGAACGGCUUUCGGGUUGUAAAGCACUUUUCAGUAACGNGACGGAAAAACCUUACGACUAAUACUCGUGAGGCUAUAGACGUACUUACAGGAAGAACGCACCNGGCUAACUNCCGUGCCAGCAGCCGCGGUAAUACG
rnacentral:rRNA from 1 species